GUGGCUAACCUGCCCUUCGGACGAGAACAACGCCGGGAAACUGGCGCUAAUUCUCGAUAGGUGGAGAGGCCUGGAACGGUUCUCUGCUCAAAGGGAGCUGAGGGCAUGCUUCCCAGUUUCGCCGAAGGAUGGGGCCGCACCCGAUCAGGUCGCUGGUGAGGUAACGGCUCACCAGGCCUAUAACCGGUACGGGCCGCGAGAGCGGGAGCCCGGAGAUGGGCACUGAGAUAAGGGCCCAGGCCCUACGGGGCGCAGCAGGCGCGAAAACUCCGCAAUGCGUGGCAACGUGACGGGGUCAUCCCGAGUGUUACCUGCUGAAGGUGACUUUUGCCUGGUGUAACGAGCCGGGUGAAUAAGGGGAGGGCAAGUCUGGUGUCAGCCGCCGCGGUAAUACCAGCUCCUCGAGUGGUUGGGACGAUUAUUGGGUCUAAAGCGUCCGUAGCCGGUCAGAAAAGUCCUCCGUUAAAUCCAGCGAUUCAAUCGUUGGGCUGCGGGGAAUACUCUUUGACUUGGAGGCGGGGGAGAUCGACGGUAGUCCAGGGGUAGGGGCGAAAUCCUAUAAUCCCUGGAGGACCACCAGUGGCGAAGGCGGUCGAUCAAAACGCGCUCGACGGUGAGGGACGAAAGCUGGGGGAGCGAACGGGAUUAGAUACCCCGGUAGUCCCAGCUGUAAACGAUGCGGGCUAGGUGUUGGGACGGGUACGUCCCGUCUCGGUGCCGCAGGGAAGCCAUUAAGCCCGCCACCUGGGAAGUACGGCCGCAAGGCUGAAACUUAAAGGAAUUGGCGGGGGAGCACCACAAGGGGUGAAGCUUGCGGUUUAAUUGGAGCAACACCGGGAACCUUACCAGGAGCGACAGUUGGAUGAAGGUCAGAUUAAAGGUCUUACCGGACUAUCUGAGAGGAGGUGCAUGGCCGUCGCCAGUUCGUGCCGUGAGGUGUUCUCUUAAGUGAGACAACGAACGAGACCCGCGCUCUUUGUUGCCAGCGGAUUCCCACGGGAAUCCAGGCACACUAAGGGGACUGCCUUCGCUAAGAAGGAGGAAGGAGCGGGCCACGGCAGGUCAGUAUGCCCCGGAUCUCCUGGGCCACACGCGAGCUGCAAUGGCUGGGACAAUGGGAUCCGACAUCGAAAGAUGAAGGCAAUCCUCAAACCCAGCCUCAGUUGGGAUCGAGGGCUGCAACUCGCCCUCGUGAACAUGGAAUCCCUAGUAACCGCGUGUCAUCAUCGCGCGGUGAAUACGUCCCUGCUCCUUGCACACACCGCCCGUCGCUCCAUCCGAGUCUGGUUUGGGUGAGGCGUGGCCUGGUUGGUCAUGUCGAGCCUUAUCUAGGCAAGGGGGGAGAAGUCGUAACAAGGUG
rnacentral:rRNA from 1 species